CUCUCUCCCUAUUUUCUAGAUUACAACUAGAACUAACUAGAACUAGAACUAGAGGAACUAGAACUAGAACUAGAUGAACUAGAACUAGAUCUAGAUGAACUAGAGGUAGAACUAGAAGAACUAGAGGGAUCCUCUCUACUUGGAUGAAGAAUUGAAACCCUAGCUUUGAUUCUGUAGAAGAGGUAUGAUCUCCAGGGGACAGGGGGUCUGGUUUUAUAGUCCCUUCAAGUGAAUCUGGGCCGUCGGAUCAAACCGACAUUGAUCGUGUGGUUUUCCUUGAAGUAUUAGGUCGGUGGAGCAUGAUCCCCGAACUUCACCCUGAUUGGUCCAGGGGGAGGGCGGGCGCCCAGUAAGGGAGGGCGGGCGCCCAGUGCCCGGCUCCGAUACGUUGCCCGUUCGUUCCCGUUGCUUCUGGAGUCUUCUAGAUGGUAGAAAAUUGCGCGGCACGUUAAUAUCUCUAUGUAAACCCGAUGUGUGGGCCUUUCUUCCGUAUUUCCUGAUAACCCCCUGCAGAAAUAGACAAACACCAAAACUUGUGGAAUUCUGUCAGAUAAAACCCUAAGUCUAGGUGUUGGUUGCAUUUGGAUCCUUUUCUAUGAUUAGUUGAUGGUUAAAUGUGAGCAUUAAGGACCAUCAACAAGCUCCCCCAAGCUUAACCUUUGCUCGUCCCUGAGCAAAGAUGGACUCAAGAGUUUCUACAGUGGUUUUAUGCCUUAAAGAUACACAUGCGUUUAAACAAUAUCUCAUCUCUAGUUAGAGUAAACUGUUAAGACAUAAAACUUACUCAUUUACCUUUCACCAUGGGACUUGUAACCGUCACUUCUGUCUUGAGUAGUUAAAAGAUAGAACAGUCUAGUCAAGCACCAUGUCUCUUGUUCUUCGAUUAACUAUAGCUCUGGAGUUUUUGCAGAUUUUCAAAUAAAACUCAGAGAUUCCUUGUAUGACUCUCUCUAGUCUCUCUUUAUGGUAUUUCUGGAUCCUUACCAAGGCAGUAAAGGUGUAUGCCUUCUCUCAAAGUAUGUGGUAUUUUUGGUAUGAGGCAUAGUGGCAUUGCCUUCUCUCUCACCCUACUCUAAUAAGGUUUUUAUAUCUGGAGCUCAUAGGUGGGAGACAGCUAAUACAUACUUACAAGACAUUUAUUGCAUAGUCAAACCAUGGAUCCAAAAGAACUAGUCAACAAGUCAAAUCAAGAUGUGCAUGUGUGGCGAAUGAAUGGUGUAUGGUGAUGAUGGUGAUAACAAUGGUGAAAGUCUAAUUCUACUUGUGCUCUUUUGAGGGGAUACAUACCUUUCUUGCUCUUUUGAAACUUUUUGAGGAGAAUGAGAUGCUCUAUAUUUUUUUUCUUUUUUUUCUUUUCUCUCAGGUGGGUAUCUUGUACCCCUAAUUCUACUGUCGGACACUUGUCCAUUUUUACCUCUCGUCUCACUUUUUCUUUUCUUUCGAGGUUCCGGGCACUUGCCCCUUUUUAUUUCCUCGUAUCUUUUUUUUUCUUUCUUUUCUUUAGAGCACUCAUCUCCUGAAAUAAUGUAGCAAGUGGUAGUAACCAUGAUAACUUGAGCAUUUAUUUCAAAGGGGAAAACAAAAAUGUUUUUGGCUAUUCUCUCCCGGAUUAGGAGUAGAAUAUUUUUGGGUGGUUCUGGAGAUGGAAAUGGAUGGAUAUAUGUGGAUGCAUACUUACGGAGUAGAAGCAGCAUGUGUGAGUGAACUUGCAAGUGAAUCUUGACUUAACCACAUGACAAGCUCCUAAGGGUCUACACAGCUUGACCACACUCAAUGCUCAUAAGCAGUAAAAAGUAAAUGUGUGGCUCAAAGUCUAGCAAGCAUGUAUAUAUGGCUGUGGUAGGAAUUUAAACUCUCAUCAUACAGGAACUCAUCAUGCAACAUUUUAAAGAUUUUUUUUAAAGAUAAAAUUCUCUAGAAUUCUAGCAUCUCUAGGAACAGAUAAACAACAGCUCAACCUUCCCAUAUCAUAUCCGUUAACGACUUAGACUUCAGAUCAAGUACUCUUCCCACAAGUUCAGAUUUAGAGAAAAUCUUAAUUAAUACCAGUCAUGCCUAAACUUGAGAGAGAGAUUUCAAUUUAAGAACUAGUCAUAGAAGAGAAACUAUUCAUCAUUUUCAUGUGAGAGAUUAUCAUGAGGGUUCAUAGCAAACUUUAUUUAUUUAUUUAUUUAGCAAACUAAGCAAAGAUAUAUAUAUAAAUAAGCACAAAAUAUUUAUUUGGGUUUAUAUGAUUAUGCAUCUUUUUAUUAUUAGAGUAAAGUAUAAACAUGAGUAGAAUACUUAGCUGGAUAAAUGGGGGUGCUCUCCUCCAAGCUGGAUUUUUACGUAAUUUCUUCUUGAUGUAACUAGCACGUGGCGGAGGUGUAUUUGAAUGUCAGCAGCACCCUGACAGUGAUUAGGAUGUCCUCCAUCUGCUAGUCUUCUUUAAUCCUUGAAUUCUGUGGAGCUCAAAUAGACAACAAAGCUUUGUGGAACUGGUUAAGGGUUAGCGUAAAUACCUAGCCUUUAUCAUGUUGAGCCUCCUCAAUAAAUGUUACUCUCUUUAGUAGGAUCAUAAAUUUAUUUUUAUAUUUUCAUUUUUAUAGGAUAGGAAUAUAUUUAUUUUAUUUUUAUGCCACCACAGUGAAUGUACUUAUGGGUUUUAUGCCAUGAGCAUACUCACAUGGGGCUUACUAUUUUUAACAUUUUUAUUUUCUUUUCAACAUGAUAUGAACUUGAUUAACUAAGCAAACUAUUUUAAAUAAUUGAAAGGAAAAAGGAUAACUACCAAGUUUAUCUCUUGGCAAGGCGUUCGGUGUUUUUAAGUCCUCCGAACGGGACUCUCCGUUUUCUCAGUCGUCCUGGGAUUCGCUGGAUGGCCUAAUCGGUGGUUCCGGCAGAGCCUGCUCUUCAUGUAUAACUAUCUUCUUUCUCCACACUUGACUCGGUGCUACAGUCUCCUCAGGACAGUUCUGUUCAAGUUGUAUGUCUUCAGACCUUACGACUUCUCCUUCAUAGUCUGCCCAUCCGUCCUUGAUGAUUUGCCUCCUCUGGUUGCGGUUGCGUCGUCUUCUUCUUGUCCUGACCUGCUUAGAGUCUUCAACUAUAUAGUUAAGGUCAUUAAAAUAGCAGCGUACCUUCUCAGAGAGGAAGUGCAUUUGGACUUCUCCGGUUCCAAUAUAGAUGAUUGCUUUAACGGUGAUGAGGAACUGUCUUCCAAGGAUGAUGGGUGGAUUGUACUCGUCUUCUCCCAUGUCAAUAACCUUAAAAUCUUCAACCUUUCGGAAUGUCUGAUGUGCUAUCUGAAGCUGAAUGUAUGUCGGUUUUAGAGGCAUGGUUCUGAACAGGAGUUGAUAGGUGACUGCGGUCAUUAUGUUGACGUCAGAUCCGGUGUCGUAGAGUGUCUUCUGAAAGAAUAUCCGUUGAUUGUGCACUCGAUGCUUGGAACACCAGGGUCGUCCUUCUUGAUCAAGAAAGGUGACUUGAGUUGACGAUCUUGACCUCCUUGAGCUGCAGUGACCAUCUUAGCUGGCUCGGUACACAUUUGCUUGUUCUUGUUCCUCCUGUUGGUCCUCGUCCUUGGUUCAUGUUGGGAUUGCUCUGGGAUUGGUGUAGUCUUAUUUCUUGAAGGAAAACGUCUCCUUCUUCCCCUUGAUGUAGAAACUGAUCUUGGCAGCACUAGCGUAGAUGACAGCUCCCGAGGUGUUCAGGAAUGGCUUCCCCUAGGUAUAAUGUUGACACUGGAGCCAAAGUCGCAGAGUGCUUCUGGGAAGUCCACCAUGCCGAUGGAGAUCGGGAUGACGGGGCAUCCUGGGUCGCCUCUCUUUGACUGGCAGAAGGUCAGUAAUUGCUUCUACAACGGGGUUACUCUAGUAGUUACGUCCUCAAGCAUCUCAGGGCAGUGAUUGCCUGAGUGUCCAGUAUCUCCAGUGUGUUUGUGCUCGUAGAUCUAGGUUCUUCACUUGGUGUAGUCUGGGAGUUGUAAAAGUCCUUCAUAUUUUGCUGGAAGUGUACAUGCUCAUAGAGACAAGGCAGAGAUCAAGUGCAUGGGCCCUGUUGGUGGAACACACCAACAGAACUAAAAGUGUAUUUGUUCUUCUCUAACCUUAAGCAUAGUGAGCAAGACAAAGUUGAUGGAUAAUAAGAUCAUGGGUGUAGCAUUUAAAACAUUUGUCAGAUCAGAUCGCUCAACCGAAUGGAAAGAUAAUCUAGCUAUACUUAUGUUUUUUUUAUAUCUUCCAAAGAUUGAAUGUGCAACAUUUUAGCUUAUAUGAUUAGGAGUGUGGAAUCACAAAGGUAGAAAGACUAAACAUAUUGAAUCGAUUGGGUUGGUUAAUCUAGAGUUGUAAAUUAUACAUGUUUGUCUCUUUUAUUCAUAUGAACGCCAGAACCAAGGAGAAGCUUUAUAGAAGUGAUAGUCAAGUACCUUAAGAUGUUACCUUACUUGAAGAGUGAUGGUACAGUAUCACCUUGUGGAAGCUUUCCUUUCUUAGUGGUUGUGCAUCGUGUUUGUGGCACCUCCAUGGAUCAUCUCUUGUGAGCUGUGCCUUCCUUGUGUAAAUUGUUAAACUUCAUGUGUCUCACUCUUUGUCUUCAAUGUGAGUUUAUCUCAGGACUUCCCAGGUCGAUAUUGAAAGUUUUCCUGCAGGGGUUAGUCCGACAAAAUAUCCAAUAUCUACUAUAGCAUACUAUCGGCUCAAAGAUCAACCUGGACACCAUGUCUAAUUUGAUUUAGGAGGGCAUUUUAACCUAAGCAUCAUGCUUAAUUUAAACUCCCUUGGAAGUAAGAUCAUCAGCCCUAAACUAAGCACCAUGCUUAAUUAAGAGAUAAAUGAAACUACUCCAAACCUAGACAUAUACUAAAGCAAAUAAAGGUAGCAUGAGAGCAUUUAUAGAGAUCUACUUAAGUGGAGAUGAAGUAGUGUGAUUAGUAUUUAACAAAUUGAGCAUGUUUCAAAGGUAGGGACAACCAACAUAGCAACAUGGCAAAUGAUAUUUUUAUGUAAAGUACUCCCCCAAGCUUGAAUUUUGCAAAAUUCAAGUUUGGAUGAAUUUAAUUCAAUGUUGUAUGAUGAUUGGUUGGACAUACCUUGUGCUUGUCAUUCAUCCGAUCUUCUUGCUCCAAUCCUGGAAAGGUUAGUGACAAGAUUACCCGAAGGAAUAUUUUUACAAUUAUCCUUAUAUGCUCAAUACACAAGGUUAUGUUGCAAAUAAUUAAAAGCUCAUGUUACAAUCUGAUCAGUGCUUGUUUUAGGAUUUAAGCUUGUCCUUGGGAAACCAUCAAUUUAUGUCGGCGAAGUGGUUUCCCCUCCAACGCUGACCUAUAUCAAGAUCAACUCAACGAGAUCUGCAAUAUUUAAUAUAGACAUAUGCAUCGACAACCACCCUUUUAAAGUUUUUAUAAAUAGAAAGGAAGUGGGGGAUGGAGAUCUCGAAUGUGGUGAUGUUGGAGAGACCAAUGGAUUGUGAAGAUGUUGCAUAUGAGCAUGGAGUAAAUGAAGUGGCUAUAAAAUAAAUUCCAUGCUCAUUAAUGCUUAGAGUGAAAUCCAUGUGGUGUGGUGAAAAUGGUAAGGUGAAUGUGGUAAAAAAAAGAAAAGAAAAAGGAUACACGGACGACUUGGUUCAAAACUAGCACAGCUACCGUUCCCCGGCAAUGGCGCCAGAAAGCUUGUUGGGUAUUUUAAACGCAAACAGAAAAAUCCGCAAGCGCACGGAUACCGAUGUAGCUUUCACCCAGGAGUAUUCCAGAGUAUCGAUUUUCCACAGAGAACGUGAGUGUACUAAUUAAGAUCCAAGAUCGCCCAAGGAUAACUAUAUAAUUAUUUUUGGUGGGAAGAGAGGAAGUUUCCUGAGAGUUCUCUAGUUGAUCUAAGAAUCGAGAAUUACUUCAAGAUUAUCUAUAUCGGGACAUCAGAACACUAACCACAGAAAGAGAUGAGAAGGGGGCUAGGAAGCUCCGACUACGGUCCUACAAACACCGAUCCGAACGAGGUGGAAUACGUCGACCGUUAGGGCUAUCACUACCCUAAGGCUACCACAACAAUCCACAGGAUUGGGUGCAAUUCCAGGUAAUUGCAAGACUAAACACCACGUCUAAUCUAUUAAUUACUACUCUAAUGUUUCAAAGACUAGAGCACUUGAUGCAAGCGGGAAUCCAAUAAAUAACUUGAAUGUUAAUAAAAGUAAUUAGAGAACUCAGGAGUUAUGAGUUGAAGAACCUGGAGAACGAUGAAGAACGAACCAGAUGCUGCAAAAGUACAAUGUUGAGGAAGAUCCGACAGAUCCGGCUCCUCCUCCGCUCUCCUCUUCUCUCUCCCUAUUUUCUAGAUUACAACUAGAACUAACUAGAACUAGAACUAGAGGAACUAGAACUAGAACUAGAUGAACUAGAACUAGAUCUAGAUGAACUAGAGGUAGAACUAGAAGAACUAGAGGGAUCCUCUCUACUUGGAUGAAGAAUUGAAACCCUAGCUUUGAUUCUGUAGAAGAGGUAUGAUCUCCAGGGGCCAAGGGGUCUGGUUUUAUAGUCCCUUCAAGUGAAUCUGGGCCGUCGGAUCAAACCGACAUUGAUCGUGUGGUUUUCCUUGAAGUUUUAGGUCGGUGGAGCAUGAUCCCCGAACUUCACCCUGAUUGGUCCAGGGGGGAGGGCGGGCGCCCAGUAAGGGAGGGCGGGCGCCCAGUGCCCGGCUCCGUUACGUCUCCCGUUCGUUCCCGUGGCUUCUGGAGUCUUCUAGAUGGUAGAAAAUUGCGCGGCACGUUAAUAUCUCUAUGUAAACCCGACGUGUGGGCCUUUCUUCCGUAUUUCCUGAUAACCCCCUGUAGAAAUAGACAAACACCAAAACUUGUGGAAUUCUGUCAGAUAAAACCCUAAGUCUAGGUGUUGGUUGCAUUUGGAUCCUUUUCUAUGAUUAGUUGAUGGUUAAAUGUGAGCAUUAAGGACCGUCAACAUAUACUUCAAAUCAUUUGACUUUGCCUUUUAUUUGCAUCUCAUGUUGACUACAUUAACUGCCACAAAUGCCCUGUCACAAGCACUACAAAGGAAGGAUAAAGACAUUGUUAAAGCCAUUG
rnacentral:lncRNA from 1 species